GUCUCCGUGGCGCAACUGGUUAGCGCGUUCGACUGUUAAACAUUGUGAUGCAAUCGAGAGGUUGACAGUUCAAUCCUGUCCGGGGACG
rnacentral:tRNA from 2 species